rnacentral:rRNA from 1 species
UGAUGCGAUCAUACCAGCACUAACGCACCGGAUCCCAUCAGAACUCCGAAGUUAAGCGUGCUUGGGCGAGAGUAGUACUAGGAUGGGUGACCCCCUGGGAAGUCCUCGUGUUGCAUCCC